rnacentral:rRNA from 1 species
AUUGAACGCUGGCGGCAGGCUUAACACAUGCAAGUCGAGCGGAGAUGAGGUGCUUGCACCUUAUCUUAGCGGCGGACGGGUGAGUAAUGCUUAGGAAUCUGCCUAUUAGUGGGGGACAACAUUCCGAAAGGAAUGCUAAUACCGCAUACGUCCUACGGGAGAAAGCAGGGGAUCUUCGGACCUUGCGCUAAUAGAUGAGCCUAAGUCGGAUUAGCUAGUUGGUGGGGUAAAGGCCUACCAAGGCGACGAUCUGUAGCGGGUCUGAGAGGAUGAUCCGCCACACUGGGACUGAAACACGGCCCAGACUCCUACGGGAGGCAGCAGUGGGGAACAUUGGACAAUGGGGGAAACCCUGAUCCAGCCAUGCCGCGUGUGUGAAGAAGGCCUUAUGGUUGUAAAGCACUUUAAGCGAGGAGGAGGCUACUGAGACUAAUACUCUUGGAUAGUGGACGUUACUCGCAGAAUAAGCACCGGCUAACUCUGUGCCAGCCGCCGCGGUAA